rnacentral:rRNA from 1 species
AUGGACCAGUUCCACGACGGGCACCACGUGCGGCUGCGGAGCCUCGUGCACCGCACCCGCACCUACCUCCACGCCGCCGACGACGGGGAGAGCGUCACCCUCAGCCAGGUCCGGGCCUCCAUGAACGCGGCGUGGGCGGUGCACAUCUACCACCGCGCCGACGGCGACGGCGAGGGCUUCUACGACGACGACGGCCCGUACCUGCUCCUCCACAGCGCCGCCUACGGCCGCUACCUCGGCGCCACGGACGUGCCGGCGCGGCGAGGCCACCGCGGCUUCCGCGCGGAGCUGCGCGACUACGACCAGCCGGAGGUGGGGGCCAUCAUGUGGCGGGCCGUCCGGUCGGGCUUCGUGGACGACGUCGUCCUGCUCCACCACGCGGGCGGCCGCUUCCUCCGCGCCAACGGCAGGUACCUUCCCUGGAACGCCGGCGUCAGCCUCGACGACGACGUCAACUCCAUGAUGCACUGGGUCGUCGAGCCCAUCCCCGCUAGAGAGGCUGGCAUGCCUGCCAUUCCUGGCCCGCUUCCGACUCGCCCAGGAAUGAGAUUCCUCUCCAACAUAUUCAUGCACCGGGGGGCGGGACAGCAGAUCGGGGGCGUCGAGCCCAUCCCGGGAGAGGCGGGUGGCUCCGGUGGCCGGACUCCGACUCUCGCAAGAUUCCUCUCCGACAUGUUCAUGGAUCCGGGACGGCGGAUCCGGUACACUCCGACGCUCGGCGGGGACUACCCCGAGGACAGCGCCGGCUGGGGCGAGUUCUGGUUCAGGGGGAGGUCCGUGUUCCGUCUGAGGGACCAGCUGGUGAUGCGCACCAGCAUCAACCUGUACUACCAGAACGUCGCCAUCUGCGUCCGAGCGGGCCGCUACGGGAGGCUGACCCCGCUCGUCGUCGACCUGCCCCACGGCGGCUACGGCGAGACCCUCGAGAUUGUCAUCCUCGAGGACGAGACUCGUGGUGAGAGCCUCUCUCCUCUCCAUGCCCCAACUUCCUAA